GGCCGGAACCCCGCCCGCGCUGGCGCCGCGAUGCGGCUCUGGUACUGAUGAUGCCGCCGGGUUGGGUGUAAGAGCCGAUGCGGACCUUUCUGGCGUCGGCCCCGCCUCUCCGUGAGGUCACGGCGGUAAUUCCCUCUCUGGGACCGGACCACUUUACCCUGAGAGGGCUCACAGCGUCAGGGGCAAGACAGGGAGAAUCCGGCUCCCCGCUGGGCUCAUAGCUCUGAAGCCAGCAGCUUCCACGGCCUCCUGACCCCGCCCGGCAAGGAUGCGACAAUGACCACCUGCCACUGAAGGGGCCGGCUCUGCGGAGCACCUUGGAACCUCGACCCCAGGGGCCCAGCAGCCUCCAAGGGGCCCGCAGCCC
ensembl:lncRNA